CGGCGGAACACGUGAAAUUCCGUCGGAAUCCGGGAGGACCAUCUCCCAAGGCUAAAUACUCCCUAGUGACCGAUAGUGAACCAGUACCGUGAGGGAAAGGUGAAAAGCACCCCGGAAGGGGAGUGAAACAGUUCCUGAAACCGUGUGCCUACAAGUAGUUAGAGCCCGUUAAUGGGUGAUAGCGUGCCUUUUGUAGAAUGAACCGGCGAGUUACGAUUUGUUGCAAGGUUAAGCGGAAAAAGCGGAGCCGUAGCGAAAGCGAGUCUGAAUAGGGCGCAUAAGUAACAGGUCGUAGACCCGAAACCAGGUGAUCUACCCAUGUCCAGGAUGAAGGUAAGGUAAUACUUACUGGAGGUCCGAACCCACGCACGUUGAAAAGUGCGGGGAUGAGGUGUGGGUAGCGGAGAAAUUCCAAUCGAACUUGGAGAUAGCUGGUUCUCUCCGAAAUAGCUUUAGGGCUAGCCUCGAGGUAAAGAGUCAUGGAGGUAGAGCACUGUUUGGACUAGGGGCCCUUCUCGGGUUACCGAAUUCAGAUAAACUCCGAAUGCCAUGUACUUAUACUCGGGAGUCAGACUGCGAGUGAUAAGAUCCGUAGUCGAAAGGGAAACAGCCCAGACCACCAGUUAAGGUCCCCAAAUAUAUGUUAAGUGGAAAAGGAUGUGGGGUUGCUUAGACAACCAGGAUGUUGGCUUAGAAGCAGCCACCAUUGAAAGAGUGCGUAAUAGCUCACUGGUCGAGUGACCCCGCGCCGAAAAUGUACCGGGGCUAAACAUAUUACCGAAACUGUGGAUGAACCUCUUUAGAGGUUCGUGGUAGGAGAGCGUUCUAAGGGCGGUGAAGUCAGACCGGAAGGACUGGUGGAGCGCUUAGAAGUGAGAAUGCCGGUAUGAGUAGCGAAAGAAGGGUGAGAAUCCCUUCCACCGAAUAUCUAAGGUUUCCUGAGGAAGGCUCGUCCGCUCAGGGUUAGUCGGGACCUAAGCCGAGGCCGAUAGGCGUAGGCGAUGGACAACAGGUAGAGAUUCCUGUACCAGUGCUAAUUGUUUAACCGAUGGGGUGACACAGAAGGAUAGGGAAUCGCACGAAUGGAAAUGUGCGUCCAA
rnacentral:rRNA from 1 species